AAUUGCCCUAGACUUCUUUCUCCAGGCUCCCGUUGUGUGGCUUGGCUGCCCACUACCUCAUUCCCAUCAAUGGACAAUGGCUGGGAGAGAAAGCCUCCGUGACUGUAUCACGGAACAGUCUCCACUCCAGGUUAUGGAUCCACUGUUGGGCAGUUCUACACUGCUCACAUCCGGAUGCCGAUUCUGCCAGCAAAUCCAUCUGAUUCUAUCUCUCUCUCCGAAUUUGGGACCUGGGAGUUUGGGAGAAAAGCAAAGAAGGCCUGGGGUUGAGUGAGACACAGGGUCCCAGCCAGCAGCUAGAACACGAGGAGAAAAGAAGAAAGGACUCACUGAAAGGGAAUUGCUGAAGAGGACCUUUAUAUCUGAGGGCUUUACUUUGUGCUUUGUAAUUUCCCUUUGUCAUCCUCAUCUUUUAGGAAACUGAUUAACCACUAUAAUUUACGUCGUAUUAGCAACGCCUUAGAGAAUGAAGGAGGAACUGUACUUAUUCUUGGAGCGUAGCCUGGAGAGAGGCAGAAGCCUUCAGGAGCUGUUACUAGGUAGUAGGAAAUCACUCUCUCUAGAGUCCUCUGAAACAGUCUGGAAGAGAAUGGAUUUCCUGCUGUUGUGCAGGAUGAGGGUUUGAGUACAGUAAUUUAAUUUACUUAUUUAAAAAAUACUGGAAGAUGGGGAGGGAGGAUGGGUCAGAUUAUAAUAUGUUCAUAUGUCUAAGGCAGGAAAUUAGAUACAAGAUGAAAUCUAAGAAAGUUCUGUGAUUGGGUUUCUCCCACAGAAGGAGGAGAAAAUCCCUGCAUCUCUGGUUAUGCAAAUAAUAUGCAAAUUACAGUGAUUACAUACUUGCUUAGAAAAUUUUGAUUACCUCAUUUUGACUUCAGGCAGAGUUGGGACACCAAAAGGGAAUGUUUGUCAACAGUCCAGAGUUGUUAGAUUUCUUCCAGGGGAAAUGAAAGGGUAAAUUUCUUACCAAACACAAGGGUUUUAAAUAAGUUUUUCAAACUCCUUAAUGUCUCCCUUCCACAAAGCAUACCAAAAAAAAAAAAAAAUUACAAUAGAGUCAAAAUGUGAUCUGUAGACAAAAUGAAGGACAAAUGGUUUUCCCCCCUAAAUUUUACUCCAGGGUACAUUUUCUCCUCUUUCUUUGUCGAACAAUGUGAAGUAAGGGCUUGGAUUUUGUCCUGCAGAUGGUUUUGCAAUCAGUUCUAGCCAUUUCUCUAAGUCUGGGCUUCAAAUCUGUCAGUUGAGAGUGAUACAGUUGCCUGUCCCAUGGUGGUGUUAAGUGAGGCUGAGAGCAUCAAACAAAUGUCCCAGCUCCUGCCACAGUUGCAUCCUUGACACGUUCCAGUGGUGCCCGAGCAACACUGCAAAGACCCCCUGGGAUGUCUGUUGGCAAGAAAAGGUGGAGCCACUGCCCUGGGGGGCUGGGAAGGGAGUUAGAGAACUACUGUCUUAACCUAAAAUUUGGGCAGAAUCUGCCUUGGAUCAAAUUUAAAAUCUUUUCUGAAUAUUAGCUGACUUGAUUAGAAACUAGUUGUCUCUCCCCUUCUCAGCAGAAGACUGUGGAAUGUGUCUCCUAGCAACAGAGAUGUGUUACUAUCUUAUGGUAGGACUGUUUUAUAAAGCAGCAAUCUCCAACCUUUUUGGCACCAGAGACCAGUUUCAUGGAAGAUGAUUUCUCCACAGACAGGGAAGUGGGGGGAUGGUUUCAGGAUGACUCAUGCGCAUUACAUUUAUUGUGUACUUUAUUUCUAUUAUUAUUACAUUGUAAUAUAUAAUGAAAUAAUUAUACAACUCACCAUA
ensembl:lncRNA novel transcript, antisense to STEAP1B